AUUGAACGCUGGCGGCAGGCCUAACACAUGCAAGUCGAGCGAGCGGCGGACGGGUGUGUAAUGUAUGGGGACUGCCCGAUAGAGGGGGAUAACUACUGGCAACGGUAUCUAAUACCGCCUACUAUCUGAUAAACCCUGUGGGAUUAGCUAGGAGGUGAGGUAAUGGCUCACCUAGGCGCCGAUCCCUAGCUGGUCUGCGAGGAUGAUCAGCAACACUGGGACUGAGAAACGGCCCAGACUCCUACGGAGGCAGCAGUGGGGAAUAGUGCACAAUGGGCGCAACCCUGAUGCAGCCAUGCCGCGUGUAUGAGGAAGGCCCUAGGGUUGUAAAGUACUUUCAGUCGGGAGGCGUUACCGACAGAAGAAGCACCGGCUAACUCCGUGCCAGCAGCCGCGGUAAUUC
rnacentral:rRNA from 1 species